GCCCUGGACGGCAGCAACCUCCGCCUGGCCGCGGAGCAGCGUCUGCUAAAAAAAUAUACAGAUGAAAUCUGUGCCAAUCAACCCACGGAAGAUUAUUUUGCUCAGUUUAAUACAAGAAGUCGAUAAUGCUAAUGACAACCUCGGUUUAAGAAUAAAGAAAGUGUGGCCACCUUGAAGAAACCAGGAAAGCCAUGCUGAUCUUGAAGGCUGAGGUUGCCAUUGUGGCCGUCACUGGGCACAUGCAGAGAGGCACCCAGGGAAGCCUGUUCUUUGUGGAGCCCUGCCUGGGCUAGUCCAGCGGUAGUGCUGAAGUGGACUAGGGUGUCUGGACAAUCUCCAGGCCUCAGCCUCCUGCAGGUGACUCCAGGAGCGUCUGCUCAGCCCUCUGUCAAGGGACUGCCCACAUGUGAACAGCCUGGGACCUGUCCUAGGGGAGUUCCGUAUCCUGUGGACUGUGCCAACCACAGGUGGACAAGCCCCUCCUCUGUCCCUUGAGCGAGGCAGAAUCCUGCUGUGACAUUUAUCAAGAUGUUGCUAAAGGUCCAGGGAAGCAAAGGACCCACAUCUAGGGGAAAUCAGAGGCCCAGAGCCUCUUCCUGGGUCUACCUCUGCCCACUGCACUCCACCUGGCUGGACACAAGUGAAGGAGACCCCACUUGCUACCAGGCUGGAGCAAGCACCCUUGGCCCCACUCUGUGGAGCCCAGGGCCCUGGAACGUUGCCCUUGUUUCCUGAGUGAUUAAACUGUUUCUGCUGGGGAAGGGGCAAGAGAGUGGCAUAGUCAUUUCCUGGGGCCACUGCAAAUAUCAAAAAGCUGCACACUGGCUUUGACAGUAGACAUUCACAGCACAUCACAGCUCUGGAGACCCGAAGUCUGGGGCCGGAAGUCUGGGCUCAGGAGUCAGCAGGCUGGUUCCUCCAGUCUAGGAAUGGGGUGGCUGUGACUGGGGUUUUUCUGGUGACCCUUGUGUGAGAUCUGACUGACCCCCAGAGACUGUUGCGCACCCCUCCCCUUACCGAGGACACAACAUUCCAUUUUGGCCUUGACUCGUCGGGAUGGAAAGCUUGGGUCAGCUCCCUCAAGGACCAAUUAUUGUUCUAUUGCUCAUCCUCAUAUUUGGUCCCUGCACGGAAAGAUGGAGAUCAAAACUCAUACAUAGAGAGCAGCUGCUGCCCAACAUUAUCAGAUGCUAAUUAUGUGGAAUAAUGAAAAUUGGUAUGGACAGAACAAGGGGUAAGGAGUUAGCCCCAAACAAAGGGAGGAAUGAUAGGGAAAACUUUUAUGAAUGGCAAAAACCUAUAAAGU